rnacentral:rRNA from 1 species
UACAGAGGGUGCGAGCGUUGUUCGGAAUUAUUGGGCGUAAAGGGCGCGUAGGCGGUGCGGUAAGUCACCUGUGAAAUCUCCUGGCUCAACUGGGAGCCUGCAGGCGAAACUGCCGUGCUGGAGUGUGGGAGAGGUGCGUGGAAUUCCUGGUGUAGCGGUGAAAUGCGUAGAUAUCAGGAGGAACACCUGUGGCGAAAGCGGCGCACUGGACCACAACUGACGCUGAGGCGCGAAAGCUAGGGGAGCAAACAGG